rnacentral:rRNA from 1 species
UACGUAGGGUGCGAGCGUUGUCCGGAAUUAUUGGGCGUAAAGAGCUUGUAGGUGGCUCGUUGCGUCGGGAGUGAAAACCUGCGGCUUAACCGCAGGCCUGCUUCCGAUACGGGCGAGCUAGAGUUCGGCAGGGGAGACUGGAAUUCCUGGUGUAGCGGUGGAAUGCGCAGAUAUCAGGAGGAACACCUGUGGCGAAGGCGGCCCCCUGGUUGGAUACUGACGCUGAUACGCGAAAGCGUGGGGAGCAAACAGG